rnacentral:rRNA from 1 species
GACAGAGGAUGCAAGCGUUAUCCGGAAUGAUUGGGCGUAAAGCGUCUGUAGGUGGCUUUUCAAGUCCGCCGUCAAAUCCCAGGGCUCAACCCUGGACAGGCGGUGGAAACUGCCAAGCUGGAGUACGGUAGGGGCAGAGGGAAUUUCCGGUGGAGCGGUGAAAUGCGUAGAGAUCGGCAGGAACACCCAGGGGGAAACCAGUCGACUGGGCAGCACCUGACGCUGAGGUGCGAGAGCGUGGGGAGGGAACCGG